rnacentral:tRNA from 1 species
GGGCCGGUAGCUCAGUUUGGAUAGAGCAUCAAGAAACCAUUUGCUCUUUCAUUAGAGAAUGAUUUUGUGCUACUCUCCUAUUCCAAAAGGGAGCAAGGUGAGGGCCGAGGGUUCAAAUCCCUCCCGGCUCG